CGGUUUAAUCAAACCGUUGCAUAAACCCUAGCUAAACCCUCCCCCAAGGCUCAAGCAAAGCACCAAUGGCGUUGCUUUCUUUGCCUUGAUGUUCAAGCCACGCCUUUGACCUCUGUCUCCGAAUCUUCCUUCCUCGCUAGUUUUCCGAUCGUACUUCAAUCUUCAAUCGCCCUUGAUUCUGGGGGCAGCAUUUUGCGUCUUUUCAAGAUUUGAUUUCGCAUGGGCAGAUUCAGCUGGUUACGAUCGUGCCGGCGCCGGUUGUUGUCUUCCAUCACGGGUCAGACGAAUUCGAUUGUGAAUAGUUCGGUUUCGGAUUCGCGGAGGGCGUUCUUGCUCGCCCGAACUGAAGCUUUUCAUCAUUCAGCUUCGUACAGUUGCGGUCUUUUUACUGGAAAUCCUAUUGACCGGGAGACCUUGAGGUCGCCUUGGAGGUAUCGGUGUCUUCAUGCAACAGGCUCUUGUCGCUACCCAGAAAGAAGCUAUUAUGAUGUUCUUGGUGUUUCGGAGAAUGCCAGCCGAGCUGAGAUUAAGAAGGCUUUUCAUAUGCUUGCAAAGAAGCACCAUCCCGACGCAAAUAAGAAUAAUCCUUCUGCAAAGAGGAAAUUUCAAGAGAUAAGAGAUGCUUAUGAGACUUUGCAAAGUCCUGAAAAAAGAGCAGAGUAUGACAGGAAACGCUCUAGAAGGUCAGUAAAUGUUGAAUAUGGUGAAGGAAAUGCUGAGGGGUUCGCACAUGAGUACGAGAGGCAUUUCUCUAGUUCCUUCCACAAGAUAUUUUCUGAGAUUUUUGAGGACGAGACAGAUCAAUUUGCAUCUGAUGUUCAGGUUGAAUUGAUACUUUCUUUCGUUGAGGCUGCGGAAGGGUGCACAAAAGAUCUGUCCUUUGAAGCACAUGUUCCUUGUGAUUCUUGUGAUGGGCGUGGCCAUCCACCUGGUGUCAAGGCGAGAGUGUGUCCAACUUGCAGAGGCAUUGGCAGGGUCACAAUUCCCCCAUUUUCAGCGACAUGCACUACCUGUAACGGCUCGGGGAGAGUUGUCAAGGAGCAAUGCAUUUCAUGUGGAGGAUCAGGAGUUGUCGAAGGCACUAAGGAAGUUAAAGUUACUAUUCCUGCAGGUGUGGAUUCAGGAGAUACAAUUCGCGUGCCAGGGGCUGGUAAUGCUGGAGCGCGGAGGAGGCAACCUGGCAACUUAUUCAUCAAAUUAAAGAUGGCUGAAGAUCGUACCUUUACCAGAGACGGUGCAGAUGUAUAUGUGGUCUCAGAAAUUAGCUUCACACAAGCAAUUCUUGGUGGUAAAGUGGAGGUCCCAACUUUAUCGGGGAAAGUCCAAGUUGAUAUACCAAAGGGGGUACAGCCUGGACAGCUUGUGGUUCUAAGAAGGAAAGGACUACCAAAACAUGGUUUUCUUGUCACUCAUGGAGAUCAAUUUGUGCGAUUUCGUGUUAAAUUCCCCAGUGAGAUAAAUGAACGACAACGCGCAAUUUUAGAAGAACUUGCUAAAGAGGAGAUUAAUAGUGAAAACAAUACUCAUCAAGAAGGAAAUUGGUGGGCACAAUUUCUCGAACGCAUGGCGAGUCCUAAGUUUAUGCUUGAAAUGUCACUGGUCCUGUUGAUCCUUAUGCUUUUGAAGAAAGUGAUGGCUUGAGCACAUGCCUCAAAUUUGCGGUCAGAUUGGAUCGGAUGAUACUUCUGAUUGAGACUGGUUGUGCUGGAGGAUUCCCCCAGAUUAUAUUCUUAGGUCGAGUUAUAUCGAUAGAAGGCAUCAUAUUUUUAUGGAGGUGAUCAUAGUUGCUCAAUUGCAAUCUCAUCAAAGCCAUUCUUUUGCCCCCGCAACUCACCAUUUUUUCAAGGAUAACGAGCGAUAACAUUUUUUUCUCACUGAGUCGUCAAUUCAUGUCAUAUUUCUCCUAUGAUUGUUGCUCAAACGUACCUCCUGGUGCGGACUUCAUUUGACAAUAUGACAAGUAGCCGGGCAUAGAGAAAUUAGAAGAAUGUAAGAACUUUGAGAUUUUUCUUGGAGUUUUAUUUAUUUAUUUAUUUCUUUUAUCAUUUUUCCUCUUUUGUAUUUUAUGUACAUUUUCUUCAUGUUCGAUGUGACAGUGAGGCACCUCUCUUCGAAGCACAUGAAUGCAAAUGUCGAC